rnacentral:rRNA from 1 species
ACGAACCGUACGAACGUUAUUCGGAAUCACUGGGCUUAAAGGGUGCGUAGGCGGUCCGGUAAGUUGGGUGUGAAAGCCCUCGGCUCAACCGAGGAAUUGCGCCCAAAACUGUCGGACUUGAGGGAGACAGAGGUGGGCGGAACUUAGGGUGGAGCGGUGAAAUGCGUUGAUAUCCUAAGGAACACCAGUGGCGAAAGCGGCUCACUGGGUCUCUUCUGACGCUGAGGCACGAAAGCUAGGGGAGCGAACGG